rnacentral:rRNA from 1 species
GACGAACGCUGGCGGCGUGCUUAACACAUGCAAGUCGUACGGUAAGGUCCUUUCGGGGGUACACAAGUGGCGAACGGCUGAGUAACACGUGAGUAACCUGCCCACAACUUUGGGAUAACGCUAGUAAACUGGGGCUAAUACUGGAGAUGUGCGCCUUCUGCAUGUUGGGGGUUGGAGAGCUCCGGCGGUUGGGGAUGGACGCGCGGCCUUACCGGUUGAACGUGGGGUAGUGGCCUAGCAAGGCGGAGACGGGUAGCCGGCCUGGGAGGGUGACCGGGCUCAUUGGGACUGGGAUACAGACCAGACUCCUACGGGAGGCAGCAGUGGCGAAUAUUGCACAAUGGGAGCAAGCCUGAUCCAGCACCGCCGCGUGCGGGAUGACGGCCAUCGGGUUGUAAUCCGAAUUCAGCAGGGACGAAGAUUUUUGUGACGGUACCUGCAGAAGAAGCACCGGCUAACUACGUG